rnacentral:rRNA from 1 species
GACGAACGCUGGCGGCGUGCUUAACACAUGCAAGUCGAACGGUAAGGCCCUUCGGGGUACACGAGUGGCGAACGGGUGAGUAACACGUGGGUGAUCUGCCCUGCACUUCGGGAUAAGCCUGGGAAACUGGGUCUAAUACCGGAUAGGACUCCUGGCUUCAUGGUUGGGGGUGGAAAGCUUUUGCGGUGUGGGAUGGGCCCGCGGCCUAUCAGCUUGUUGGUGGGGUGAUGGCCUACCAAGGCGACGACGGGUAGCCGGCCUGAGAGGGUGACCGGCCAAACGGGGACUGAGAUACGGCCCAGACUCCUACGGGAGGCAGCAGUGGGGAAUAUUGCACAAUGGGCGCAAGCCUGAUGCAGCGACGCCGCGUGGGGGAUGACGGCCUUCGGGUUGUAAACCUCUUUCAGCACCGACGAAGCGCAAGUGACGGUAGGUGCAGAAGAAGGACCGGCCAACUACGUGCCAGCAGCCGCCGUAA